rnacentral:rRNA from 1 species
AGAAUCAACGCUGGCGGCGUGCCUAACACAUGCAAGUCGAACGAGAAAGUGGAGCAAUCCAUGAGUAAAGUGGCGCACGGGUGAGUAACACGUGACUAACCUACCCUUGAGUGGGGGAUAACCUAGGGAAACCUGGGCUAAUACCGCAUAAUACCUUCGGGUCAAAGGAGCAAUUCGCUUAAGGAGGGGGUCGCGGCCGAUUAGUUAGUUGGCGGGGUAAUGGCCCACCAAGACUGUGAUCGGUAUCCGGCCUGAGAGGGCGCACGGACACACUGGAACUGAAACACGGUCCAGACUCCUACGGGAGGCAGCAGUGGGGAAUUUUGCGCAAUGGGGGAAACCCUGACGCAGCAACGCCGCGUGGAGGAUGAAGUCCCUUGGGACGUAAACUCCUUUCGAUCGGGACGAUUAUGACGGUACCGGAAGAAGAACGCCCCGGCUAACUUCGCGCCAGCAGCCGC